AGCCCCGUCGUAUAGUGGCCAAGUAUACGGGCCUUUGAAGCCUGUGACGUGAGUUCGAUUCUCACCGGGGCUA
rnacentral:tRNA from 1 species